rfam:Otolemur garnettii contig004257, whole genome shotgun sequence.
AUCAUUUCUCGGCCUUUUGGCUAAGAUCAAGUGUAGUAUCUGUUCUUAUCAGUUUACAAACAAAACAAAAUUUAUUCUCUCAUAGCUCUGAGGCUAGAAGGCAGGAAUGAUGGUAUCAACAAGGUUUGAUUUCGCCUGGAGUAUCU